CUUACCAAUGUAUGUAGGCCUAAUUGGCUAUGACCUUUGAAAUAGUUGAAAGUAAAUCCCAGUAGUAUCUAGUGAAACACACAUGCAAACGCCCUUCUGUCCCUCAUUCCCUCAAACUCGAUCUUCUACAUUUGUUGUGUAAAAAGGACAUAGCAAGUUUUUUGUAUCAAUGAUCACUUUAGGAUAUUCCAGUGCAUUUACAUUCAAUAUAUACUGUACCUUGAGUGAGGUAGAAAUGCAUAUUGUUGCAAAUAUAAAUACUGUUAAUUUGUUAUUUUUUGUAAUUAAUCAUUUACUGAAUUUCUUUGUAGAAUAUGUUACUAUUAUUUGGGUUUUUGUUCUCUGCAUAACUGUCUCUUUCACCUAUAUUAAUUCCUCAGCAUUCAAGAUGUUUGUAGGGUCCUCACCUCAGCUACCUCUCACAAGGUGCCCCUGAAAAAGAAAUUCAAGACGUUUGGGUCCUCAGCUCAACUGACCAAGACCUUUGCUCAUUGAAGGCAUGAAGUAAUUUGUGAUGCCCCCACGAUUGCAGUUUUUAAAUCCAGAUGGCUUGCUCUUUUUAACAUGUGCGAGAGCUGGAUGGUCUUUCAACAACACUGCUCCGGGUCUUCAGCAAGAAAGGUGCUUCUCAUGCAAGGAAGAUACAGAGGAUCCUGGUGCCCAUGACUCAGACUGACAACAUUGAUGUGAAGAGGGAGUGCAUGCUGAGGAGCUGACGGUCUACCUGAAUGAAGAGCCAGACAAAGUGGAUGUUGAUCUGGACGGUCCAGCUGAAACGUAUUGUCUUCGUGUGCGUGUGAUCGGCAGAGAGUCCUCAACGACAUUGGUAACGUACCUGUGGCCAUUGCAGUGUUUGUUUUGGUUUAUGCUCUUAAUCUCUGUUACCUUCCAGAAUGGAAGUACACUUUCAAAUUUCUGUUUCAUUCUAACCAUCAGUUUUUGCACUGCUUUUAAAUGUACACUGUGUAAGAUUCUUAGUUGUUUAUUUCCAGAAUUCAUGCUACCCAUUCACUAAUGUUACCUUUUUCAUGAAUACUUAG